rnacentral:rRNA from 1 species
ACGCGUGAAACCUUACCAGGUCUUGACAUCCUCUGACACUCCUAGAGAUAGGACGUUCCCCUUCGGGGGACAGAGUGACAGGUGGUGCAUGGUUGUCGUCAGCUCGUGUCGUGAGAUGUUGGGUUAAGUCCCGCAACGAGCGCAACCCUUGAUCUUAGUUGCCAGCAUUAAGUUGGGCACUCUAAGGUGACUGCCGGUGACAAACCGGAGGAAGGUGGGGAUGACGUCAAAUCAUCAUGCCCCUUAUGACCUGGGCUACACACGUGCUACAAUGGAUGGUACAAAGGGCAGCAAAGCGGCGACGCCGAGCAAAUCCCAUAAAACCAUUCUCAGUUCGGAUUGUAGGCUGCAACUCGCCUACAUGAAGCUGGAAUCGCUAGUAAUCGCGGAUCAGCAUGCCGCGGUGAAUACGUUCCCGGGCCUUGCACUCACCGCCCGU